AGCGAACGCUGGCGGCAGGCCUAACACAUGCAAGUCGAACGGAUCCUUCGGGAUUAGUGGCGGACGGGUGAGUAACACGUGGAACGUGCCUUUUGGUUCGGAACAACUCAGGGAAACUUGAGCUAAUACCGAAUGUGCCCUUCGGGGGAAAGAUUUAUCGCCAUUAGAGCGGCCCGCGUCUGAUUAGCUAGUUGGUGAGGUAAAGGCUCACCAAGGCUACGAUCAGUAGCUGGUCUGAGAGGACGAUCAGCCACAUUGGGACUGAGACACGGCCCAAACUCCUACGGGAGGCAGCAGUGGGGAAUCUUGCGCAAUGGGCGAAAGCCUGACGCAGCCAUGCCGCGUGAAUGAUGAAGGUCUUAGGAUUGUAAAAUUCUUUCACCGGGGACGAUAAUGACGGUACCCGGAGAAGAAGCCCCGGCUAAACUUCGUGCCAGCAGCCGCGGUAAU
rnacentral:rRNA from 1 species